rnacentral:rRNA from 1 species
CAUGCAAGUCGAACGGAAAGGCCCUUUCGGGGGUACUCGAGUGGCGAACGGGUGAGUAACACGUGGGUGAUCUGCCCUGCACUUUGGGAUAAGCCUGGGAAACUGGGUCUAAUACCGGAUAGGACUACGCGAUGCAUGUCGUGUGGUGGAAAGCUUUUGCGGUGUGGGAUGGGCCCGCGGCCUAUCAGCUUGUUGGUGGGGUGAUGGCCUACCAAGGCGACGACGGGUAGCCGGCCUGAGAGGGUGACCGGCCACACUGGGACUGAGAUACGGCCCAGACUCCUACGGGAGGCAGCAGUGGGGAAUAUUGCACAAUGGGCGCAAGCCUGAUGCAGCGACGCCGCGUGAGGGAUGACGGCCUUCGGGUUGUAAACCUCUUUCAGCAGGGACGAAGCGCAAGUGACGGUACCUGUAGAAGAAGGACCGGCCAACUAGGUGCCAGCAGCCGCGGUAAUACGUAGGGUCCGAGCGUUGUCCGGAAUUACUGGGCGUAAAGAGCUCGUAGGUGGUUUGUCGCGUUGUUCGUGAAAACUCACA